GUGACCCUGCUUUGCGCGUGAUGUCAAAUGAGGCUUUGACCCAACACCCUUGUCCAGGGAGCCUGGACUCCGGAAGAGCCGUGGUUCUUCCGGGAGGGCACCCACCUUUUGGAGGACGAGGAUCAAAGCGGUUGACACACGGCAAAAGCGGGGUCACA
rnacentral:other from 1 species